rnacentral:rRNA from 1 species
UACGGGGGGGGCGAGCGUUGUUCGGAAUUACUGGGCGUAAAGGGCGCGUAGGCGGUUUCAGAAGUUUUGGGUGAAAGCCCCCGGCUCAACCGGGGAAGUGCCUGGAAAACCAUGGGACUGGAGUGCUGGAGAGGCAAGCGGAAUUUCUGGUGUAGCGGUGAAAUGCGUAGAUAUCAGAAGGAACAUCCGAGGCGAAGGCGGCUUGCUGGACAGACACUGACGCUGAGGCGCGAAAGCGUGGGGAGCAAACGGG